GGUUGGUUAGCUCAGUUGGUUAGAGCGUCGUACUAAUACAGCAGAAUACUACUGUAUUAAGUAAUGCGAAGGCCAUGAGUUCGACCCUCAUACUGACCA
rnacentral:tRNA from 1 species